AUGGGUGAAGUGCCAGUGCUUUUGCAGGGGCCCCAUGACGCCGGGCACCGUUGCCACCUAUUUUUGAAACCAAAUACUAAGCAUGAUUAUCGGCCUUUCAGACUUCGAACCAUAAAGAAAACAUGGCCAAUACACAAUCAUUUCCUUGCUCACCUUGACGCUUAUGGACUACAAGGUUUUGCUAGGCUCACAUCAUGCGACGACCAAGUACGUUCGGACCCAUCCCUUUUGACAUCCCUCGUUGACUGGUGGAGACCUGAAACCCACACAUUUCACUUCGUUUUGGGGAGCUUGCACCUACACUGA
rnacentral:rRNA from 1 species